rnacentral:lncRNA from 1 species
GUUUUGUGUCAAAACAAAACAAAAAUAAACUUUGUUAUCUUUGUGUAAAUCUGAGUUCAUUAUCCCCUUCCUCCUUCAUUCAUUCCUUUCUUCCCAUCAUCCUUGGUAACACCUUUGCUGGUCUAGUUUGCUUACCUGUUUGGGUGAUACAAAUCUAAUCUCUGAGAAGCUGGGGUACCAUUACACCAUGCUCUUCUCAAGCUGUACCUGUUGGGCUUGUGCAUUUAUGGUCAAAGAGUAGGUGAAUAUCAGGGGACACACCAAAACAUGCACUUGUUACUAAAAGCAUUCUUCCCUGUCUUCAUUGUAUAAAGGAACUCUACCUGUUUCUGAUUAUUAGCUUUACUGAUCCUUGCUGGGAUUCUGACUUAUGUCUGUUUGUCUUUUAGCAUCAGGAAUCUGACAUGACCAGAUGGUGGCUUAUCUAAUGGUUUAAUGGGACUCUUGCUCUGCUCCUUGUUAGAAACAUCUUAACUAUAAGGAACAGCAACUGUAAACCCACAGGGCUCAGAGUUAUAGUGAUGAAGAGGACAAAUUCUCUAAGAGACUCACUGGAAUUGAUGGUCAAGGAUCUACUCCUGUUCUUACUGUUCUACCUUUCGGCAAAAGGUCCAUUCUGUUAUUGUAGGAGCACUACCACCAAUAUUGAGAAUGUCUCUUCAUUUGGGCGUGCAUAUUCCCUGGAACAAUGUCCCUUGUUGUAAUAGGAGGAAAAUGAUUAUGAGAAAACUCAAGGCAAAAUUGAUCAGUGGUAACUUCUCCUCCAGGGUUUGCAGUGCCCAGAAAGAGAAUGUCUACGUUUGCAUUUGGCUAUUGCUUGAAAUGCUGGACUCAAGGGCUAAGAUUCUUCUUUCUGUGUAAUUUCCUGAAUGAAUUGGUAUAAACAUCAAUAGCGAAUGCUUGAAAUUUGUCAGUGAAGGAGGACUAUGCAAUUCUCCUACUAUUGUGGUACAAGAGAAUGAGCAAGUUAGCCUCCUACCCUGUGUUACUCUGUGAGAGCUUUCAGGUCUUUCAGUAAAAACAAACAAACAAACAAACAAUAAAACCACAACCAAACAAACCA